rnacentral:tRNA from 1 species
CAUAUUGUGCCUGAUUAAAGGGCUACAUUGAUGCUGUAGACAAAACUUAUGUUCAACAUGA